UACACUCCUGCGGGAGGCAGCAGUGGGGAAUAUUGCACAAUGGGCGCAAGCCUGAUGCAGCCAUGCCGCGUGUAUGAAGAAGGCCUUCGGGUUGUAAAGUACUUUCAGCGGGGAGGAAGGCGAUAAGGUUAAUAACCUUGUUGAUUGACGUUACCCGCAGAAGAAGCACCGGCUAACUCCGUGCCAGCAGCCGCGGUAAUACGGAGGGUGCAAGCGUUAAUCGGAAUUACUGGGCGUAAAGCGCACGCAGGCGGUCUGUCAAGUCGGAUGUGAAAUCCCCGGGCUCAACCUGGGAACUGCAUUCGAAACUGGCAGGCUAGAGUCUUGUAGAGGGGGGUAGAAUUCCAGGUGUAGCGGUGAAAUGCGUAGAGAUCUGGAGGAAUACCGGUGGCGAAGGCGGCCCCCUGGACAAAGACUGACGCUCAGGUGCGAAAGCGUGGGGAGCAAACAGGAUUAGAUACCCUUGUAGUCCC
rnacentral:rRNA from 1 species